rnacentral:rRNA from 1 species
GACGAACGCUGGCGGCGUGCCUAACACAUGCAAGUCGAACGGAACUCGGGACUUCGGUUUUGAGUUUAGUGGCGAACGGGUGAGUAACGCGUGAGGAACCUGCCUUUCAGUGGGGGACAACAGUUGGAAACGACUGCUAAUACCGCAUAAUGUAUCGAGGGGGCAUCCCCUUGAUACCAAAGCUUUAUGUGCUGAAAGAUGGUCUCGCGUCUGAUUAGCUAGUUGGUGGGGUAACGGCCCACCAAGGCGACGAUCAGUAGCCGGUCUGAGAGGAUGAACGGCCACAUUGGGACUGAGAUACGGCCCAGACUCCUACGGGAGGCAGCAGUGGGGAAUAUUGGGCAAUGGGGGAAACCCUGACCCAGCAACGCCGCGUGAAGG